GGACGUCGAUCAGUAGCCGGUCUGAGAGGAUGAACGGCCACAUUGGGACUGAGACACGGCCCAGACUCCUACGGGAGGCAGCAGUGGGGAAUCUUCCGCAAUGGACGAAAGUCUGACGGAGCAACGCCGCGUGAGUGAAGAAGGUCUUCGGAUUGUAAAGCUCUGUUAUACGGGACGAAAAAGACGGAUGCCAACAGUAUCCGUCCGUGACGGUACCGUAAGAGAAAGCCACGGGCUAACUACGUGCCAGCAGCCGCGGUAAAU
rnacentral:rRNA from 1 species